UCUACCCUUUAGAUCGGGAUAACUAGCCGAAAGGUUAGCUAAUACCGGGUAUGACCACGGUCAGUAUCGUCUGAUCGAGGUAAGAGCAGGGACCGCAAGGCCUUGCGCUAAAGGAUGAGUCCGCGGCUGAUUAGCUAGUUGGCGGGGUAAUGGCCCACCAAGGCGACGAUCAGUAGCCGGCCUGAGAGGGUGAUCGGCCACACUGGGACUGAGACACGGCCCAG
rnacentral:rRNA from 1 species